UAGGGAAUCUUCGGCAAUGGGGGGAACCCUGACCGAGCAACGCCGCGUGAGUGAAGAAGGUUUUCGGAUCGUAAAGCUCUGUUGUUAAGGAAGAACGAGUGUGAGAAUGGAAAGUUCAUACUGUGACGGUACUUAACCAGAAAGGGACGGCUAACUACGUGCCAGCAGCCGCGGUAAUACGUAGGUCCCGAGCGUUGUCCGGAUUUAUUGGGCGUAAAGCGAGCGCAGGCGGUUAGAUAAGUCUGAAGUUAAAGGCAGUGGCUCAACCAUUGUAGGCUUUGGAAACAGUUUAACUUGAGUGCAGAAGGGGAGAGUGGAAUUCCAUGUGUAGCGGUGAAAUGCGUAGAUAUAUGGAGGAACACCGGUGGCGAAAGCGGCUCUCUGGUCUGUAACUGACGCUGAGGCUCGAAAGCGUGGGGAGCGAACAGG
rnacentral:rRNA from 1 species